UACGAAGGUCCCGAGCGUUGUUCGGAAUCACUGGGCGUAAAGGGAGCGUAGGCGGGCGCGGUAAGUCAGAUGUGAAAUCCCGGGGCUCAACCCCGGAACUGCAUCCGAUACUGCCGUGCUAGAGGAUUGGAGAGGUAGCUGGAAUUCUUGGUGUAGCAGUGAAAUGCGUGGAGAUCAAGAGGAACACUCGUGGCGAAAGCGAGCUACUGGACAAUAUCUGACGCUGAGGCUCGAAGGCCAGGGUAGCGAAAGGG
rnacentral:rRNA from 1 species